rnacentral:rRNA from 1 species
UACGGGGGGAGCAAGCGUUGUUCGGAAUCACUGGGCGUAAAGGGAGUCUAGGCGGUUUGGUAAGUGGGAUGUGAAAUGCCCCGGCUCACCCGGGGACCUGCAUCCCAAACUGCUGAGCUUGAGUACAGGAGAGGGUGGGGGAAUUCCAGGUGUAGCGGUGAAAUGCGUAGAUAUCUGGAGGAACACCGGUGGCGAAGGCGGCAUCCUGGACCAAUAUUGACGCUGAGGAGCGAAAGCCAGGGGAGCAAAGCGGG